CGGGCACUGCCUCGUGCGAGCUUAUAUUUCCCUGAGGCGAUUCACUCUCCUAGGGGGCUGUCUCUGGGCGGAUCUUGGUCCGCACUAAAUGGCUCCCACCUGAUGUACUUGGCAUCAGAGGAUCUCACGAGCAAACGGCUAUGGCGGUCCCGCC
rnacentral:other from 1 species